AUUGAACGCUGGCGGCAUGCCUUACACAUGCAGGUCGAACGGCAGCGGACCUUCGGGUGCCGGCGAGUGGCGAACGGGUGAGUAAUAUAUCGGAACGUACCUUUCAGUGGGGGAUAACGUAGCGAAAGUUACGCUAAUACCGCAUAUUCUGUGAGCAGGAAAGCAGGGGAUCGCAAGACCUUGCGCUGAUUGAGCGGCCGAUAUCAGAUUAGCUAGUUGGUGAGGUAAAGGCUCACCAAGGCGACGAUCUGUAGCGGGUCUGAGAGGAUGAUCCGCCACACUGGAACUGAGACACGGUCCAGACUCCUACGGGAGGCAGCAGUGGGGAAUUUUGGACAAUGGGCGCAAGCCUGAUCCAGCCAUGCCGCGUGAGUGAAGAA
rnacentral:rRNA from 1 species